UGGGGAGAAACUUUGGAGGUUGCCUUUGGAAGAAAGUUAUUAGGAGUCGAUGAAAUCAGGAGUAGCUGAUAUGGUCAACACUGGUGGUCGUCCAGGUGGUGCUGUCACUGCUGCUCUCUUCUUGAAGCAGUUUGUUGAUGAGAAGGUACAAUGGAUGCAUAUUGACUUAGCAGGCCCAGUUUGGAAUGAUAAGAAACGCGCUGCAACAGGAUUUGGCAUUUCUACUUUGGUCGAGUGGGUUUUGAAGAACUCUUCUUAAAUAAAGAUUGAAGCAUUCUGUUGGGAUCUCAUAUACAUCAAGGGAGGAGAGGAAGAACAACGUCACAGAGCAUCCUUGGUGGAGUUUCUAAUCAUAUGAAUAAAUAUGUUGCAGGAGUUAAGAAGUCAUGAGUGGAAGGCAUGGUCUUGUUUGAGCUUGUUAGAGAAACUUUAAAACUAGAAUUUCAAUUGAAAUGGUGUUUUUAAAUGUCUCUCAGUCCUUACUUAAAAAAAGUCUUCUAGUCCUUAUGAUUUUUUGGUUUAUCUA